UGGGGAAUAUUGCACAAUGGGCGAAAGCCUGAUGCAGCGACGCCGCGUGGAGGAUGACGGCCUUCGGGUUGUAAACUCCUUUCGACAGGGACGAAGCGUGAGUGACGGUACCUGUAGAAGAAGCACCGGCCAACUACGUGCCAGCAGCCGCGGUAAUACGUAGGGUGCGAGCGUUGUCCGGAAUUACUGGGCGUAAAGAGCUUGUAGGCGGUCUGUCGCGUCUUCUGUGAAAACUUGGGGCUCAACCUUAAGCUUGCAGGCGAUACGGGCAGACUAGAGUACUUCAGGGGAGACUGGAAUUCCUGGUGUAGCGGUGAAAUGCGCAGAUAUCAGGAGGAACACCGGUGGCGAAGGCGGGUCUCUGGGAAGUAACUGACGCUGAGAAGCGAAAGCAUGGGUAGCAAACAGGAUUAGAUACCCGUGUAGUCC
rnacentral:rRNA from 1 species